AAGAUACUUCCUCCGUACGAAAAAGCUUGUCCCAAGUUUGUCCCUCAAAUGGAUGUAUCUAGCACAUAGUAGUGCUAGAUAUAUCCAUUUGAGGGACAAGUUUUUUUUGGACGGAGGGAAUAUUAU
rnacentral:pre_miRNA from 1 species